GGGCCUGCAGCUCAGUGGUGGAGCACUUGCCUUGCGUGUAUGAGGCACUGAGUUCAAUCCUCAGCACCA
rnacentral:tRNA from 1 species